rnacentral:rRNA from 1 species
CCCUUAGAUGUCCUGGGCCGCACGCGCGUUACACUGAUGCAUUCAACGAGCCUAUAACCUUGGCCGAGAGGCCUGGGCAAUCUUGUUAACGUGCAUCGUGAUAGGGAUAGAUUAUUGAAAUUAUUAAUCUUGAACGAGGAAUUCCUAGUAAACGCAGAUCAUCAAUCUGCAUUGAUUACGUCCCUGCCCUUUGUACACACCGCCCGUCGCACCUACCGAUUGAAUGGUCCGGUGAAGCCUCGGGAUUGUGGCGAGUUCCCUUUAUUGGGAGUUUGUCGCGAGAACUUGUCUAAACCUUAUCAUUUAGAGGAAGGUGAAGUCGUAACA